rnacentral:rRNA from 1 species
GACGUGAGGCGCGAGCGUUGUCCGGAUUUAUUGGGCGUAAAGAGCUCGUAGGCGGUGUGUCGCGUCGGCCGUGAAAACCUGUGGCUUAACCAUGGGCUUGCGGUCGAUACGGGCAUCACUGGAGUUCGGCAGGGGGAGACUGGAAUUCCAGGUGUAGCGGUGAAAUGCGUAGAUAUCUGGAGGAACACCGGUGGCGAAGGCGGCAUCCUGGACCGGCAUUGACGCUGAGGCGCGAAAGCUAGGGGAGCAAACGGG